rnacentral:rRNA from 1 species
GUCGAACGCUGGCGGCGUGCCUAAUACAUGCAAGUCGAACGCAGUGGGGACGGGUGAGUAAAAAGUGGGUAACCUCCCAUCAGAGGGGAUAACACUUGGAAACAGGUGCUAAACCGAUACUGAUGGAUGGACCCGAUGGGACUUAGCUAGGUGGUGAGGUACCGGCUCAACAAGGCUACGAUGACUAGCUGUCCUGAGAGGGUGAUCGGCCACACUGGGACUGAGACACGGCCCAGACUCCUACGGGAUGCAGCAGUGUGGAAUCUUCGGCAAUGGACGCAAGCCUGACCGAGCAACGCCGCGUGGCUGAAGAAGGUUUUCGGAUCGUAAAACUCUGUUGUUGGAGAAGCGGUAUCUAACCAGAAAGCCACGGCUAACUACGUGCCAGCAGCCGCGGUAAUAC